GUCGGCAGCCAAUAUCACCCUGUAGCCCAAGACUGGUUGCCCACUGAAGUAAGCAAGGGCUGAGCCUGAUCAGUACCUGGCUGGGAGACCUCCUGGGAAAACUAGGUUGCUGCUGGAA
rnacentral:rRNA from 1 species